rnacentral:tRNA from 1 species
AUCCAGGGAUGGGAAACGAACCCACAGUGUUCUGCUUACUGGGUAGAAACCAUGUCCACUAGGCUACCCUCCUGGU